rnacentral:rRNA from 1 species
GAUGAACGCUGGCGGCGUGCCUAAUACAUGCAAGUCGAGCGAACAGACGAGGAGCUUGCUCCUCUGACGUUAGCGGCGGACGGGUGAGUAACACGUGGAUAACCUACCUAUAAGACUGGGAUAACUUCGGGAAACCGGAGCUAAUACCGGAUAAUAUUUCGAACCGCAUGGUUCGAUAGUGAAAGAUGGCUUUGCUAUCACUUAUAGAUGGACCUGCGCCGUAUUAGCUAGUUGGUAAGGUAACGGCUUACCAAGGCAACGAUGCGUAGCCGACCUGAGAGGGUGAUCGGCCACACUGGAACUGAGACACGGUCCAGACUCCUACGGGAGGCAGCAGUAGGGAAUCUUCCGCAAUGGGCGAAAGCCUGACGGAGCAACGCCGCGUGAAUGAUGAAGGUCUUCGGAUCGUAAAACUCUGUUAUUAGGGAAGAACAAAUGUGUAAGUAACUAUGCACGUCUUGACGGUACCUAAUCAGAAAGCCACGGCUAACUACGUG